GCGUGGGUUUAGAUUUAUGGCAGGCCUGUACUUUGGGCCUUCCUAGUGUCCCAUCCCAAAGCAAACUGCAGCGCUGAGCCAUUGCCUGGCUACUCCCUGUAAGCUGCUAGCACUGAAGUGGGCUGCACAGCA